GCAUUUUAAAAUGAUAUCUGAUUCCCACUGAUAUAAUUCCCCUCCUUCAAGUUCAGAAACAUUCUACCCAUUUAUAUUUCAUGGCAGUAUAAUUGUUUGCUUAGGUUCAGUAAAAAUCUGUCUUCUUUUGUGCCAGGAUAUAAGUGGAAGAAUCAAUUAUGCAAUCAAGGCCUUGCCUGGAAUGUCUUAUUUGAGACUGAUGUUCACUUAACUAAUGUGACAAGCCAUUUUAAGGAACAAAAUUUAGAUGUACUUAUGAAAUCAAUGUCUACAAAGUCCUCUCUAGAAAAUUGAUCCUGGGGCCAAUUUAUAGGGUCCAGGCUUAUCACUUCCAUGCAAGUUCUUGGGGCAAUGAUUUUUAACCUGGUACUGAGAUUAAAUUCAGGGCCUCACACAUGCAGGGUAUGUGCUUUACCACUGAGCUACAUCCCAGUCACCUUGGGGUAACUUUUUAAGCCUCAAGAAGAAAAUAAUUCACCCAAUGUACAGGUACAGGUGGAGUUUUUUGGGCUUGGUUUCUUAGUCUCAGUAAAUAGCAAGUGAUAAGUGCUUUUAAAAGUCUCAUUUAGGAUUCCUUAUGGUAACUUCUAGACAGAAGCUAAUUUGGAAUUGUUUGAGUACAUAUGGUUCUAAAUUUUACAAAACAAACUGAAAGAGGCCUCCAUGGUAAAUAAUACUCUGAAGAAAUUAUGAAAGUAAUCAGCCAAACAUAAAGAGACCAGCCUUUUUUUUUUAAAAUCAAGAAUAACCUUUCUUUGAAAUUAUAUAUAAUCAAUCACAAUGAAAAUGAAACUGGUCAGAAAAAACUGUCAUACUUUGAAGUGGGCAAAUGAGAUUACUGAGUGUCCUUUCAAUAGAAUGCUGAGCCCUGUCCAGUGAAUCCC
rnacentral:lncRNA from 1 species